rnacentral:ncRNA from 24 species
UAUUUUUGUCUUGAUUUCGGUUCUUAUCCUAGCGUAGGGAUGAGAUGAAAAGGGAAUCGGGUGAGAAUCCCGGACAGUCCCGCUGCUGUAAGCUCCGUAGAGCGGUUUAAACCCGAGAAGAACCACUGCCGUUAUUGGCGGGAAGGUUGUUUAAACCGGGAGUAAGUCAGAAGACCUGCCGUAAUUAUUGUUUUCUGA